rnacentral:rRNA from 1 species
UACGUAGGGCGCAAGCGUAUCCGGAAUUAUUGGGCGUAAAGAGCUCGUAGGCGGUUUGUCGCGUCUGCCGUGAAAGUCCGGGCUCAACUCCGGAUCUGCGGUGGGUACGGGCAGACUAGAGUGAUGUAGGGGAGACUGGAAUUCCUGGGUGUAGCGGUGAAAUGCGCAGAUAUCAGGAGGAACACCGAUGCGAAGGCAGGUCGUCUGGGCAUUAACUGCGCUGAGGCACGAAAGCUAGGGGAGCAAACGGG